rnacentral:rRNA from 1 species
UGAGGAAUAUUGGUCAAUGGGCGGAAGCCUGAACCAGCCAUGUCGCGUGCAGGAAGACUGCCCUAUGGGUUGUAAACUGCUUUUGUAUGGGAAGAACAUCAGAUACGAGUAUCUGUCUGCCGGUACCAUACGAAUAAGGAUCGGCUAACUCCGUGCCAGCAGCCGCGGUAAUACGGAGGAUCCGAGCGUUAUCCGGAUUUAUUGGGUUUAAAGGGUGCGUAGGCUGGGGAUUAAGUCAGUGGUGAAAGUUUGCGGCUCAACCGUAAAAUUGCCGUUGAUACUGGUUCUCUUGAGUACAUUUGAGGCAGGCGGAAUGUGGUGUGUAGCGGUGAAAUGCAUAGAUAUGCCACAGAACACCGAUUGCGAAGGCAGCUUGCUAAGAUGUCACUGACGCUGAAGCACGAAAGCAUGGGGAUCAAACAGG